rnacentral:rRNA from 1 species
ACGGGGUAUUGCCUCAGUAACGGCGAGUGAAGCGGCAAAAGCUCAAAUUUGAAAUCCCCCCGGGGAGUUGUAAUUUGAAGAUUGCGUCUUGGAGGCGACCGUGUCUAUGUUCCUUGGAACAGGACGUCACAGAGGGUGAGAAUCCCGUGCGGCACGGCCCCCGGCUCCUUAUAAGGCGCUCUCGACGAGUCGAGUUGUUUGGGAAUGCAGCUCAAAGUGGGUGGUAAAUUCCAUCUAAAGCUAAAUACAGGCGAGAGACCGAUAGCGAACAAGUACAGUGAUGGAAAGAUGAAAAGCACUUUGAAAAGAGAGUGAAACAGCACGUGAAAUUGUUGAAAGGGAAGGGCAUGCCGUCAGAUUGUCAGUGUGGGUAAGAAGCGGGGUACAAAGACUGUGGAACGUGGCCCUCGGGUGUUAUAGCCGCAGUUCAUGCCCCGUCUCUUUCCGAGGCCUGCUUUGAGGACACCGACGUAAUGACGGUACGCCGCCCGUCUUGAAAMACGGACACAA